rnacentral:rRNA from 1 species
CCUACGGGAGGCAGCAGUGGGGAAUUUUGGACAAUGGGCGCAAGCCUGAUCCAGCAAUGCCGCGUGAGUGAAGAAGGCCUUCGGGUUGUAAAGCUCUUUUGUCAGGGAAGAAACGGUGGGAGCUAAUAUCUCCUACUAAUGACGGUACCUGAAGAAUAAGCACCGGCUAACUACGUGCCAGCAGCCGCGGUAAUACGUAGGGUGCAAGCGUUAAUCGGAAUUACUGGGCGUAAAGCGUGCGCAGGCGGUUUUGUAAGUCUGUCGUGAAAGCCCCGGGCUCAACCUGGGAAUUGCGAUGGAGACUGCAAGGCUUGAAUCUGGCAGAGGGGGGUAGAAUUCCACGUGUAGCAGUGAAAUGCGUAGAGAUGUGGAGGAACACCGAUGGCGAAGGCAGCCCCCUGGGUCAAGAUUGACGCUCAUGCACGAAAGCGUGGGGAGCAAACAGGAUUAGAUACCCUGGUAGUCCACGCCCUAAACGAUGUCUACUAGUUGUCGGGUUUUAAUAACUUGGUAACGCAGCUAACGCGUGAAGUAGACCGCCUGGGGAGCGGUCGCAGAUUAAAACUUCAAAGGAAUUGACGGNNGNGAGNGCGAGACGACGACGAGGAGAGG